CCUACGUGCGACAGCAGUGAGGAAUAUUGGUCAAUGGGCUUACGCCUGAACCAGCCAAGUCGCGUGAGGGAAGACUGCCCUAUGGGUUGUAAACCUCUUUUGUCAGGGAGCAACGCCGGCUACGUGUAGCCGGACUGAGAGUACGUGAAGAAAAAGCAUCGGCUAACUCCGUGGCAGCAGCCGCGGUAAUACGGAGGAUGCGAGCGUUAUCCGGAUUUAGUGGGUUUAAAGGGUGCGUAGGCGGAAUGCCAAGUCAGCGGUAAAAUCGCGGGGCUCAACCUCGCUCCGCCGUUGAAACUGGCGUUCUUGAGUGGGCGAGAAGUAUGCGGAAUGCGUGGUGUAGCGGUGAAAUGCAUAGAUAUCACGCAGAACUCCGAUUGCGAAGGCAGCAUACCGGCGCCCAACUGACGCUGAAGCACGAAAGCGUGGGUAUCGAACAGGAUUAGAUACCCCAGUAGUC
rnacentral:rRNA from 1 species